UGAAAAGUCGGGACCUCACUUCACUUCAGCCCUAACUUGCUCAUUCUCUCUUUCAACGGGUUUGCUCAAUCUUCAGCCCUAAAGUCAGGAUCUCCAAGGCAGAUUGGGAGCUCAAUCUUCUUCAAAUUUUGGUUCGACUUGGUAUACGUGUGUGGUCCUAUGUACAGGAAGAGGCUUCCCAUGGAAGGACAGAACCAAUUAAUCCUUUCAAUCGAGAGAGUUGUAAGCCAUCAGCAUCCCAAGGUGUCCCACUUGGAGGAAUGGAGGGAGAAGUGGAAGGUUCAAAACCCAGUUGGGUCAUGGGUGUGUGUGCCUUUCUUUUCAUCAAAGAUGGGGGAAAAAAGUGAGAGAGACAAAUAGAUGUUGCAUGUUUGAUUUUUGAGGGAUAACCCUGCAGCAUUGUUGGCUUUAAGCUAGUAUUGGGCCUCUGGUGGAGUAGGAUCCAAGGAUAUGGUUGUUCUUCCUUACAAGGAUAGCCUAGUAUUAUUUAGUAGGUGUUUACAACAGUUGGUCAUGGAAUCACUUGGGAAGGAGUUUGACCUAGAUGGUAAUCGGCUACAUCCAACAACUGAGAGAGGGCGUGCACAACUUCUUUGUGACUUUAAUUGAAACCCUGCGUGAUAGACCCCCUGGCCAUGAUUGGGAGCUUAAACCAGGGGUCGCACGUGGUGACUACCUGUUUGGUAUGUUACAGAUCUGAUCGUUAAAUCGACGACUGCUGCUUUGAAGAGAUCAAUGACGACUUGUUUUGCUGGUUCUUGUCGAUCUACAUAUAUGCUCGACGUAUGGUUUGGAUUUACUGAAAUCAAUGCAAAUCUGCUCAGUUUUUGGUGGUUAUAGAGAAGAUCCAGAGGUAUUUUUAGAGUCUAGUAUAGAUCUUGAAUGUUAAUGUUUUAGAAUUGGCUUAACUGGAUCGAGUAAUCGUAGUUGAACUCGUUGCUAAUAAAUUUCCUAUGGAGACUCUUGUUGUUGUUGUUCAGCAUCAGAAUCAAUACUACAGUAGAAGCAGCAGGGCUCAUAAUGGCCCUGCAAGAUUUGGAUCAUUUGGAUCUCCUCAUUCUAUAGGUUUCAAAGGAUCACCCUCGCCACCCUCCAAUAUUUAUUGUCUCUCCCCUUUGUAAACGAGAGAGCGACAGACAUAUAUACAAAUCUCCCUUGGUGGAGGGCCAUGUAUGAUUGUUAAUUUAUUAUGUCACAAAACAAUUGAUCCCAUAAAUUAGAGAUAGCUUGUUUUGAGAUAAUGUGCUUUAACAUUAUUUGUAACUUAUUUGAUUAUGAAUGACUGUUGAUUAUUUAAUGAGAUUAUUUUUAGUUGAUUCUUAUUAUUUGAUUCUUCUUUUUGAAUUUUGGGUUGCAGGGAUGUCCAAAGCGUGUCACAUCUAAGUACAGCUUGAAGCCUCCUGUGCCAAGGUUGUCUGAUAUAAAGCUUGAUGUUGAUGUUGAGAAAAUGUUUUUUUAGAGAUUCUUUUUGAAGAAACUGUUGCUAUUCUUUAUUUGAACUGUUACUACUUUGAUUUGAAUUUGGAAACUUUUAGUUUUAAUUUUUGUAAAAUUUUACUUUCUAUAUACUCAUUAUGGUUUGUGAAUAGAGUGCCUUUGAU